UACGUAGGUGGCAAGCGUUGUCCGGAUUUACUGGGCGUAAAGGGCGUGCAGGCGGUUUGUUAAGUGCAGGGUGAAAGCUCCCGGCUCAACUGGGAGAGGUCCUUGCAUACUGGCAAACUCGAGGGAGGCAGAGGAAAGUGGAAUUCCCGGUGUAGUGGUGAUAUGCGUAGAUAUCGGAAGGAACAUCAGUGGCGAAAGCGACUUCCUGGACCAAUACUGACGCUCAUGUGCGAAAGCGUGGGGAGCAAACAGG
rnacentral:rRNA from 1 species